GACGAACGCUGGCGGCGUGCUUAACACAUGCAAGUCGAGCGGUAAGGCCCUUUUGGGGGUACACGAGCGGCGAACGGGUGAGUAACACGUGGGUGACCUGCCCUCAGCGUCUGGGAUAAGCCUGGGAAACUGGGUCUAAUACUGGAUAUGACCUUUCCUCGCAUGGGGGUUGGGUGGAAAGUUUUUCGGCUGGGGAUGGGCCCGCGGCCUAUCAGCUUGUUGGUGGGGUGAUGGCCUACCAAGGCGACGACGGGUAGCCGGCCUGAGAGGGCGACCGCCACACUGGGACUGAGACACGGCCCAGACUCCUACGGGAGGCAGCAGUGGGGAAUAUUGCGCAAUGGGCGGAAGCCUGACGCAGCG
rnacentral:rRNA from 1 species